AUGAUAAAAAAAUGUAAUAAUGUGAAACCUUAAACUAAAAAAUUUUAAAAAUGUGAAUGUGGAUGUGGAUGGAUAAAAGGACAUUUCAAAAGUAAUAAAAAUAAAACAAUAAGAAACAUUUGCAGAUUUUUUAAAACAAAUAUAAGUUAUUUUGGUACACAUAGUGCGCCUGUGAUUUUGUUUCGAAAAUAUAUUUUUUAAAUACAUGUAUUAAUACAUGUAUUUUUGUUUUCCAAUACAUUUGUCAACUUAAUAAAUCCUUGUGAAAUUCGUUUUUUUAAAUUAUAUUAAAAUGAGAAGAAUCUUGAUAAAGUCCGCAAGCAGCAGCCAAUAAAUCAGAAAAUCAAGUGAAUUGAUGGGUCUCUAUACAAAGCUGCCUCCUCAGUGCAUAACACACUACUACAUCAACAACAACAAUUAAAUCUGCCGAAAUAUGGAGUGUUAAAAAUAUAAUCCUGCAAAAACAAAUACUAUUGUAGUUUGGAACAUUAACUGUCGCACAGUGGGAUAGAGCCGAAAAAAACUAGAAAAAAAAAUAAAAAAAACGAAUAGAGAUAUCUUUGUAAUUCUUUUUGAAUUUUGCUGAUAAAAGUAUCCUUAAAACAUUAAAAAUAAAUUCUGCCCGAAUUUUUCACGAAAAUCCCUAAAAUACCCCUUUCGGGCAAAGAUAUUUUCAAAA